rnacentral:rRNA from 1 species
GAUGAACGCUGGCGGCGUGCCUAACACACGCAAGUCGAACGGUUAAGGCGGCUUCGGCCGCGAAUAAAGUGGCGAACGGGUGAGUAGCGCGUGACCGACCAUCCCCCCGCACCGGGACAACCGCGGGAAACCGCGGCUGAUACCGGGUACUCCGGGGCCCUCGCAUGGGGGCCCCGGGAAAGCUCCGGCGGCGGGGGAUGGGGUCGCGUCCCAUCAGGUAGUAGGCGGGGCAACGGCCCACCUAGCCGACGACGGGUAGCCGGGUUGAGAGACCGACCGGCCACAUUGGGACUGAGAUACGGCCCAGACUCCUACGGGAGGCAGCAGUGGGGAAUUUUGCGCAAUGGGGGCAACCCUGACGCAGCAACGCCGCGUGCGGGACGACGGCCUUCGGGUUGUAAACCGCUUUCAGCAGGGAAGAACCUAAGACGGUACCUGCAGAAGAAGCCCCGGCUAACUACGUGCCAGCCGCCGCAGUAA